CCUUCACCAACACUUUGUCACUGUACGUCACUAAAAAAUAUUAGAUGUUUUUUGAUUCAAACAACUGUUUUGUUCUAGGUGAGAAAAUCAGUUUUGCAGCCUGCAGAUAAAAGAAAAAAUCAAACACAGUAAACAAAGUAAACAACAUCAUUCAGACAUGUGAGUGUCAACAGUUUUGGUCAGAGAAGUUCAGGGGGUGAAGUAUUUUGCAAUGUAUUCAUUUUGAUGAUAUUAAGAUCAGGGAAUUUGUAAAUCAGAAGCAUGGCUGACUUGAAAGGCAGGCACACUGUGGUGCUUUGCAAAGCGAGUAAAGGCCCGUCUCUGAUAGGAUAACAAAAGUUCUGUUGAGUCAGUAUUCCCAUUAUGUCCUCUGCCGACAAAAGGCUUCAGAAAUCUACUGAAAUGAGUGACGUCUCCGAGAAUCAGCCAUGUAUUACGUAGUCCAUGGAACAGGAUUGUAUGUCAGUUACUGCUAUUUACAUACAGCAGCCUGAUGGCAGAAAGAACAGGAAUUAUCAUUUAUCUUUCUUCGGGGGGCAAGAUGUAACUGUGGGGAUGAAUUAAAAGAAAGAAAAUGAUAAUUCCUUAAGCUGUCUGGACCACCUGAUUUUUUCAGGUCAAGUAUAGCUGAAUUAUAAAUGUUUUGAAGCAGAUAUGAAUGAUGUUGAGACCACAGAAAGCACUUCUACAAUAUAUAUAUGAUUAGUUAAGCUGUUUUUAUUACAUCCCGUCAUGUUUCGUAUUCGUAUCUCGUGAUUCCUGUUUUAUGUUGAUACACACCCCUAUCUUUUAUGUCUGGUUUAUAGACCUUAAUGAUGAAUAUGCAAUAUUCAUGCAAGCCAAUACACAAAGUCCCCAUCGGUUCUAUCAAAUCCUGUUCAAACAGCUUGGGACUCAGCAUUUCAACCAAGACCAUUGUGACAUGUAAACUGAGGAAGCUCCCAUUAGAACUACCAACCAUCCAGAUGAGAGAGGGCUGACUGUAGGGCUGACUGUACCACUGAGGCACAGCUGCUCUGGAGUUUGUCCAAGCACAACAUCAAUUAAAGCUGAGUUUUUUGGUUGUUGUUUUUCCAGAUAAAACAAAGUAAAAAAAUCACAGAGCCCUGCUUUUUAUUCUCCAUAUUAACUUCUCUUAGUUUCGUUCUGAUUAGUGGAUCUUAUCACCCCGUACUCUUGAGAUAAGAGUGUCCAUUAAGAAUUGUAGACAGAAUUCCCCAGAGCUGACCAGUGAAAACAAUUAAUCUCACAGGCAUUUUUUUUUUGUCGCAGCUGGUUCUAACUAUGGGGGUCAUUCACAGGUCAGGAUCUGCUCAGCCCCUCCAAUACCUCAUCUAUGGAGCUCAAACUGUCUCUGUUCAGAAGAGUUUUCAGUGGAGUUUUUAGGCCUGUACAUGAUUUCUUACACACAGUGAUAAAUGGAUGAACUCUUGAGCUUGGGUUGUCAAAUCUAACAAGUUUAUACACGCAACUCUUCUCCAGACUUUGACGUUUGAGUUUUAAACAUAAAUGGGUUAUGUGACUCACUUCCUUUAUUUGCAAAGCUGCAGCCGAUAAACCAGUGCAACCAAUACACAGGUAGAAAAUAUCCCUGAGGUGGGGAUCAGCUCCUGGUGCUCGUUCACUGAGAGAAAAUACACUGUUGACUAAAAUUUCUAACAUGGCAGAAAUUCAUCAAACUGGUUGAGAGGAGCCGAUCAGGUUGUUACUCAACUCAAAAAUUUGCUUGACCAUACACUGUUCAAUAUUUACUGCUUUUUACUAUAUGACUAUACACUGAAGAUGGCCCAUCUUUAUAGAAAACAAGCUGCAUCUCUGCCAAGAAGUCAGGAAAGUUUGGUGGAGUUUGCAGUUAUUUGUGUUUCCAUUGUCAAAAGUUGGGAAAAGUAAGUUAGUAUUUGAUCUGUACUGCCUUUCUUUGUAGCACCCAUCUGUUGGAGUCCCAGGCCUUCAAAUCUGACCCUAAACUGCAGCGAUUGUGCUUCUGUCAAACUCUCCAAUCCCGAUUUCAUUUGGUGAGUAAACUUCUGAGCCGCAUUGGAUUAAAACUCUUCAGUCUUUUGUACAUUUUUAUUCAUCAGAAAAUGCCUUUGUG